CGCUGCUCAGAGCAAACCCGUCUAAAGACGGCGACGCAGAGCUACGGGGCUUCGGCGUGACCGCCAUGCCCGCCGGGCCGCCAGC
rnacentral:ncRNA from 1 species